rnacentral:lncRNA from 10 species
ACUCACUCCUCCUCCGCCUCCAGCGCCACCUCGUAUCUCCUCAUUCCCGACAUGUCCUGGGCUCCGAACGUCUCCUGGGGAGCGGCAUGAUUGAAUCAGGGAUUCCCUAGCCCCAGGUCCCCUUCUCCGUCAUUCUCAGGACGAGGCUGCCCAGUUCUCAGGUUGUUGUGGUGGUAUUACUACUACUCAGCAAGAUUCUGGUUUUACUUCUCAUCUUGGGAGUUACCAUCAAGACGUUAGGUAUGGCUGUGUGACCCACUUUGGCCAAUGAAAUGUGAACAGAAAUGGCAUAUGUCACUUGUGGACAAAAACAUUUAAGCAAGAAUUUCCCUUGCUGUCUUCCUUGACUGGAGCGACCAUGGAAGCCUGUGUUGAGAUGAAGAGGCUGCCAACAGAUCAAAACACUUGAAAACUUGAGCAGCCACAUGGACUACAACUGUGCUGGAGACUUGCCUGGACCCACAGCAGGCUUGAUACAAGGAGAAGUAAUGCCUGGAUGUGAGAAAGAAAAAGAACUUCACAAAGGAUACCAGCUGAAGCUUAAGACAUAUUUCACAGGGUUAAUCCAGUGCAGAAACAGCUUCAUCUUGUUAUCCAAGCCAACUUCUGGAGCUUCUGGAAGGAUGAUGCUCUUCCAAGCUGAGAAAUGAUCACAGACCAGACUAGCAGCUGGGAGACUGCAAAGAAGAAGAGAUUACCUUUUCAUGAGAAACAGCAGCUUCCACAACUUCUCGGCUUCUUCCUGUGAAGUUCUCCUAGCUGAAGAAACAGAAGAUAGUGAGUGUUAUGUGGAACUGGAGAGGAUUCAGGGACAUCCUAUAAGAAGCUGAAGGCCUUUUAAUGAGAAGAUACUGAAAACCCCAGAGUCAGAACACUAAGUCACAUCUGUGUAUAACUUAACCGUUUACGAUGUGUUGUUCUGCACCUUGUCUCAUUUGUCCUUCACCAUCACACUGGGAGUGAGGAAGGAUCAUCACAUGCCCAUUUUAUGGAGAACAAGACUGA